GAAGACAGUUUCUCAUACAUUUGGAGCCAAGGCCAAGAGUGAUGAGGGAAGCUUGGCGAAAGGGAUCUCCCGGGAAGGGGUCAUGUGAUGCCCUUGUGGGCACCAGAACCAAGUUUCCCUACCCUCAGUACAGAUGGAAACUUCUAUCUUAUCUUGAUUUUCCUCUCCGGUCUGAGAUUAACCAAGUAUUUUCAGGCAAGUGGGAUUAUAUUUGCCCAAGUCAUUUUCAGCUAAAACAGCAAUGGCUCAAAUUGAAACAUCAGCUCCGUUGGUUAUCAGAACUUUGGAAUAAAACUGGGACUAUAAUACAUAUCAACUAGGUCUCCACCUUGAUGACUGCAGAACUUGAGAUUUCUCAGUCUCCGUGAUCAAUCAUCUCUUAUGAUGUAAGUGUUCUCAACAGUCCUAUUAUAGUUGAAAAAAAUGGAAGCACAACGAGGUUGAAGAACUUGCCCAAGUUCACUUAGGAGGAAACAAAAGUAUCCUCUGAGGAGGAACCUGAAAGUAAGUCAUUUUAAUUCAAUUCAGUUCAAUUUUGAUAAUUUAGAGACUUUGCUUGGGUUGGCAUUCCCCUA